rnacentral:rRNA from 1 species
ACUACGGGUGGCAGCAGUGGGAGAUAUUGCACAAUGGGGGGAACCCUGAUGCAGCGACGCCGCGUGGGUGAAGAAGCGCCUCGGCGCGUAAAGCCCUGUCAGCAGGGAAGAAAAUGACGGUACCUGAAGAAGAAGCCCCGGCUAACUACGUGCCAGCAGCCGCGGUAAUACGUAGGGGGCAAGCGUUAUCCGGAUUUACUGGGUGUAAAGGGGGCGCAGACGGCGAUGCAAGCCAGGAGUGAAAGCCCGGGGCCCAACCCCGGGACUGCUCUUGGAACUGCGUGGCUGGAGUGCAGGAGGGGCAGGCGGAAUUCCUGGUGUAGCGGUGAAAUGCGUAGAUAUCAGGAGGAACACCGGUGGCGAAGGCGGCCUGCUGGACUGCAACUGACGUUGAGGCCCGAAAGCGUGGGGAGCAAACAGGAUUAGAUACCCGUGUAGUC